GAUGAAGAACGUAGCGAAAUGCGAUAAGUAAUGUGAAUUGCAGAAUUCCGUGAAUCAUCGAAUCUUUGAACGCACAUUGCGCCCUUUGGUAUUCCUUAGGGCAUGCCUGUUCGAGCGUCAUUUAAACCUUCAAGCUAAGCUUGGUGUUGGGUGACUGUCCGCUUCACGGCGGACUCGCCUCAAAAUUAUUGGCGGCCGGUACAUUGGCUUCGAGCGCAGCAGAAACGCGAACUCGGGCCCGUCGUAUUGGCUCCCAGAAGCUAUCUUCACAAUUUUGACCUCGGAUCAGGUAGGGAUACCCGCUGAACUUAAGCAUAUCAAUAAGCGGAGGA
rnacentral:misc_RNA from 1 species